CUUUCUUUUCUAUAUACAAAAAAAAAAAAAAAAAACUAAUUGCAAACAUUCAAUUAAGAUAAUAUAUAAACUUAAAUUGAAAACUACAAUACUAUCUUCACAAGAGAUGGUCACUAAUUCUUCAUCAUCUUCUUCUUUUUGCUAUAUUUCUUGAAUACCUAGUAGGAUAGACACAACAUUAAUAGAAAAGUAAGCAACAAGUAUCAAAAUAACAAUUUUCAAAUCAUAAGGUACUUUCAAUUGCAAGAAUACAUCAAACAUAUAUGCAAUUUGUAGAUACCAUAUCUCUAGCAUUAAUCUUCAAGCAUUGCCCUCUGGAAAGACCCCAAAAUUGUCAGCACCUCUAUCUCAAACCUAUGAUAGAAAAAACAAAUGAUGUUAACAAAAAAAAAAGCUCAAAUUGAGAAAUUAGAUAUCUAACUACAAUGAAAUAUUUUUAAGAUUGAAUUCUAAGUUUAAUUAUUGUGUUUUUAUAUAAUGGACCUAAAUAACUAUAAAAUUAUACUUCUUUUUAAUUUCUAAAAGGAAUGCAAAAAGGAAAAGAGAAAACAAAAGUUUCAAAUAUAUCUUUCAUGUUAUUUUGGCUUCUAAAUAGAUAAAAACUCACAUUAUCUAAGAAAUCGUUAAAAUUAAAAUUGAGCAUAAAUUUUAAUAAUCUCAAUCAUAAAUAAUGAAAUAUCUAAAUUCAAAUUCAUAGAAACCACACUAACUAUUAAUUUCAAGCACCAAAUGCAUCUAAACUUAACAAAAUAAAAAAUCAAGGAUAUUUUCCUUCAAUUCUAAUAAGAUAAUAGAUCUUAUGUGUGCAAAUUUUGUCUUUAUUUCAAGAACUAAUAAAUGCACAAGCUGUCUAGUUGAGAGAUUAAAUCUAUAAAUUUUUAAAAGAAAUAAAUUAAUUAAAUAAACAAAAAAGGUCUAAGAAAUGGAAAAUCUCCAAAAUUAAAGAGAAAAUCAAGCACAUUUCAUAAAUGGGAAAAAGUUAUGCAAUAUGCUGCUAUUCUUUUUCAACUAAUGUGAAAUUGAAAACAUAUUUGACACAAAGUUGUGUGAGAAUACAUCUAUAAGGUUCAUAGAAAUAAUGUGUAGAUUACCAUUUAAAGCUAUGUAAACUAAGAAUGACAAAUAGCAAAUUAUAUUAUUUAUAUCUAUCAUGCCUUCUUAAAAUACAAUGUCAAAUAUUCCAUAGAUAGACAACUAUGCAUGAGUAUGAAAAUGUUGUCUAGAUGUUCCUCUCAUAGGCAGCUAAUGCAUGAGUUCAUCAAAUUCAAAACUUAACAACAAUUAAAGCUGACAAACCACCCAAUUAUCAAUUAUUAAAGAACUCUUAAUCCGAGCAAAAACUAAAACUAAUAAAGCAACUAAUAACAAAUAUAAAAGUUGCAUUGGCACCCAAUAUAAUGUUCAUCCUAAUGUAAUUGUGCUCAUUAAAACAAAAAAUUUCAUGGCAUAAAUUAAAUGAAGAGACCCCAUAUAAGCAACAAGAAAAUACUUCAUACCAUUACAGUGGUAAUUAAGGACUACAUAAAUAAUUUUAGUUGGCUUGUGACUAUGAAUUGAAGAAUUAAAAUUUUGUGAGGGUUGAUUUAUUGCUUAUCAACCAAAUAGCAUAUCAACAUUUAACAAAAGAAAGAGUUUCAAACAAUCAUGAUUUAGAACAUUAAAAUUCAGCCCUAAAAAAAAUAAAAAAAAAAACAAAGAGAAAGAACCAAACUAAAGGAGCCCAAGUAAAAAUUCAAGUGCAUAAAUAAGUAAAUUAAAUAGUUAACCAUAUUAAGGAGAAAACCAUGUCACAUUAUGCAAAUUGUUUUUGUGUGCCCAAAUAUACAGUUCUGUUUCUUUAUAUUGCAUUAAAAGUCCAAUGAUAUCGAUAUACAACUGCAAAGGAAAUAGUAGAGAUAAAAUUUGAAGGAAAUUUACUCAUAAUUAUUUUGAUUAACACAUCCAAAUAUUAUGGAUCAACAAAGAAAUCAAUUUAAAGAAAACAAAACAUCAGCCUUUACGAGCAUAAAAUGAAAUAGGAAUAUAUCCAAAACCCUUGGACCUUUAACCCAUUGAGCUACAUAGGAGGAACCUUAUCUGACCCUACAUUUCACAUUUGACAGCCAUCAGUUUUUUAAACAAUUAUAAUUUUUUUUAUUUAUUUUACAUCCAUUAUUUAAUUCAAUACAAAUAAAAGAGCAAGAAAAAUAGGUUGAACAGAAAGAGAAGAGGGAAAGAUUUUGGGUGAGAGGCCUUGGAGAAGAUGAAACAAGAGUGCCGAUUUUUUUUUCUUGGCAUCCAAACACAUCUUGCAGAGGCAAAAAGUUGGAAAAACUGACCUGGGGUUGUCUUAUUUUCUAGGGAAAAUGGGUUUUUUUUUUCCAGAAAAUUUGCUUAUUUUUCUACAUUUUUGCUACUAUGUAAUGGACUCUUUUCCUUGUAGUUCUUUUUCUAAUCUUUGGAGCUUCAUUCACUUAUUUUUGUUUGAGAUUUCGCUGAUGGGUCAUUGUUUAUUUGUUGAAAUGCAGAGUAAUUAUAGAUAUUUUUGAAGGAUUUUCUUUGAUCUUGAGGUGAUUGGAAGAACGUUUUCUUGGAGUUUGUAGUAUUUUUUUUUACCUUUAGAUUUUCUAGCAUUUUCUUGAGAAAAUCGAGAUGGGUGUUGUUAAUGUGGUGUCAUUUUUGUUGCAGAGAUACAGAAAUGGAUAAGGAAGGGAAUAAUCAGAAAUGGUGUAGAGGUUUGGAACCCGACUUUCUAUUGAGGUGGGGAAACAGGAAAAGACUUAGAUGCGUGAAAGUCAAAGAUGGAAGAAAUAAAUCAGACUGUUUAGGUAGCAAGAAAAUCACCUCUCGUGUUGAUCGCUGUGUUAUCACUGCCGAGAAAGAGACUCCCUAUCCACAAACCCAUUGUCUGAAUAGAUAAUGAUGACCAUAGGUGGUGCAUGAAGAGAAGGUGUGGUGGAGCUAAUAUGGGCGGCGACAAGUGGCUGUCAACGGUGGGCGAUGAGAAUGGUGGCAGAAGGGGUCGCCGUAGUAGGAUCGUGGAUAUGGUGUGCAGCCGACUGUGGUUGGCGUAACCGAUUGUGGUUGGUCCAGCCGGCGAUGACGACGAGGGAAGGCAUGGUGAAGAUGGGAAGGUGAAAGAGUGAGAAAGGAAAAAAAAUGGAGAGAGGGAGAUGGGUAAGUGGCAUGGGUAUGGAGAGAGAACGGGAAAGAAAUAGGAAGGAGGAAAGAAGAAAAAUAGAGAAGGAAUGGAGAGUGGCGGUGGCAG
rnacentral:lncRNA from 1 species